rnacentral:sRNA from 2 species
UUUAACCGCUUCUAGGGUUCCGAUUUGAAUCAGUUUCUAACUCAGGUUAGACAGUUCAAGUGCUGGUCCGAGAGAAGCAGACUGGUUCUCCCAAGAUUUUAAAUUUAGGGAAACACUAGCCAGUUACACGGCGGGAUAAAAGCCCGGGAGAA